rnacentral:lncRNA from 1 species
GUGUUCGGCAUGAGGGUGCCUGCAGAGGAGGUGAAUCCCUGCAUUUUCUAUUCUUUUUUUCUUCCAACUGGUGUGGAUCCCAGACAAUUUCAGGGUCCUGCAGGGUUUGAAACCCUCUGUGAACACUGACCCGAGACCCCGUUUUGCCCAUGGGAAGUUGAUGCCUGCGCAGCCCCCGGCCAGGGGCACUGUCUCCUCGGACCCGGGAUGCUGGACGGAGGGGACAAUGUGCAGGGGCAGCUGCUGCUGGGCUGUGGACCUCCCGGAACGGGAGGAGCCCGGGAGGGGCUGGCUCAGCAGUGAGGGCUCCGAUGCGCCUCGAUUCAUAUGCUAAGGAGCCCUGGAUUCGGCUUUCAUUGCCGGAGUGGGAGGUGACCCCAGGGGCCCCAGCUGGGGGCGUGGCUGGGAAAUGCACAGAAAGAGACUUCGACAGGGGUAGCUAUGGUUUGUGCUGUGCUGUGCACACGUCUGGCUGUUAGAAAUCUACGUCCAUAAACAGUUCCUUCCAGGUCUCCGUGGAAAACUGAAGAUUCAUGUGUGUUUUCAGAAAAGAGGUUCCAAGGAAAAGGGCAGCCAUUUAGUUUUUACAAGUCUGGGCAGUGAGCGAUUUGGAGCUUCCAUCCUUGGCUGACAUCAUGAACGCCAAUGUUGCUGGCCUCGAUCGCAAGAAGGGUGGGACUUCGUGCUUAGCCUUCCUUGGGAAGGGCCUGUCCCUGGGUCACGUCCCCACUGACCACAGGAGGAAGAGAAGGGAUGAGGAUCCUGGGGGGCCUGGCUCUGCAUCCACCCGUCUCUGUGUGGAUGCCUCCUGUGUCCAGGGUGAUAACUGGUCACCUGAAUGAGUCCUUGGGGUCAUUCCUGGCUUCUCCUGUCACUUGAUCACCCCUCUGGCUGCAGGGAGUCCAGGACGGAGAAGGAGAGAGACCUCAUUCUCCCUAGGGAAUGCAGGCUGAGACCACCCAUGCUUCUGGAGCAGGGUUUGGUGUGGAGGAGGUCCCUCCAGGGAGGGACAGUGAGCUGACGCUGUGACAUUGCUCAGGAUGGAGGCCCAGGGCAGACUGCGUCACCAGCUGCCGCAGAAGCCAGGUUUCCAGAGGGGCUGUGUCACCAGCCCUGGGGACGCCAUGUUGAUGUGCCUUUCGACACAUUCCUGUGGAGUGUCUGAGGAAAAACAGGGCACACGCAUUCCUGAUAAGAUUGCACCAAAAGGCCAGGGCAGGGGACCAGGCUCCCAGCCUCUCUCUGUCUCAGUUGGGGGCCGAGGGGCAGGGACAGCCAGGAGAAGGCCCAGCCAGAUACUGCUGGCUUCCCCCAGGACUCCGCCCCACUGGCCUCUCGGUUAAACCUCUUCACCUGAGCGUCUCUUAUGGCGUGGUUGAGUCACACAUGAGAGGUUUUUGUCUGCCAGGAGGGGCUCUUCUUAUGGGAGAACAGGGGCACAAGGUGUGUGGUGUGGCUCUCAGGGAUGUGUCUGGACUCUAUCACGUCUGAGUGUCCCCAGGGCCAGAGUGCUGGGGGCAGGAGCCUGUGGUUUAUCAAGCACCUUCUGCCAGCUGAGGCCGUGACGUUUUGUCCCUCCCUGGAGAAGGCUUCAAGGUCAGCCUCUUCUUCCUUUGGUCCCGAGCUUGCCGUGUCUCCUACUCAUUCCCCAUGUCCACAUGAAAGGGCAGUGUUCACAGGUGGGUUGGUCUGAGAUUGAAACAGCAAGGCCUGGGAUCUUCUGUUUGGGCAGCCCCCUCGAGUCCGCCUCAGAGGAGCCCAGACCUCCUGGAUGGCUUUCGGCAAGCCUCCCAGUGGGCACAGGCCACCAGACGCUGCGUGGACUCAGCUUCCACACUGCAGUGGGUACGGGCCUGGUCCUUGCACUACCAGGGACAAGGAGGAACGCUAUGCCUGGUGGGGAUGAGCACCCCAUCUCAUGACGAAGCAGUUCUCCAGGGUCUGCCCCACUUUUCUGUAAACCUGGGGGUCCAGCUCAGUGCAUUGGCUGGAAGGAGAGGAGAUGCCUCCUGUCCCAGCUCAAGGUGCUCUGCCGACCCCACUGCCCGCCCCAACCCCGGUGCUCCGGGGGACCCCAAUGCCAUAGAUGCACUUCAUGGGGAGCAACUGGGGCUGUUCCCGAGGACCAAGACGGGCAGAGACCCUAAAGAUGUCCAUGGAUUGACCCCUGCUCUCUGUGGCCCCUGCCUGGCUGGCCUCCCCUCCUCACACUCUCCACAGUUCUCAUGCAACGCAGCGCCUCUAAAAAUGCUGUCCUGAAAAUGUGCGCUUUGGGGAAGAGCAGCUUCCUCCUCUCCGACCAAGUUUGGGUCCCUUCUACAGCUUCAGUGGCUGUAGGCAGUCGAUGAGGGCCCUGGAUGGGGUGGGCCGGGGGCAGGGAGGGGCGCUGUGGGCUCCGGUUGCUCCGGGCUCCGGGCAGACACACUAACCUGGUGUAUUUGGAAAUGCACCUGGGCGUGUGCUGACCUCUGUGUGGAGGAACACGGGUCUGUUCAUCCCCCACUGGCUGCACCCUCGGGAGGCUGCAGCGUGCACUAUUCGGCCCCUACACUGCAGUUAUUCUUGUAUCUGCCUCGUCACUGGCCUUGCUGCCCAUGACUCCCUCGGGUCAGCCCCAUGUCUCUGUCAAACUUUCAUCCUCCACAAUUCUGCACAGCCUGUAAAUGCUUAAAAAAUAUCGCGGAACAGGUGAGUCACGUUACAGAAAAGAAGCAACCUGGAAAAGCACAGACAUUCCUUCCCCUUCUGCACCUGUUAGAGUAAGGGAGGGGCAUGAGGGGGUGGGACCUGCACAAGGUGCAGUUGAUGGAAAUGCAGUCUUCAGGAAAAGCCCUGGCUCUGAAAUGGCAAAGGCCGCGUGCCUGGGAAAAAGACAAACGUGUCUUAUCCAGAGACAGCCACCCUGCCCCAAAGGCUGUCACGCUGCCGUUCAGUUAUCUAUUCUGCAGCGAUAGAACUGGCUUGACCUAAAAAUUCAAGGACGGGAAAAUGUCAUCUAAUGCUGCUUAGUGCAGUCGGGCAGUCAGCGGAUGAGGGCAGAAGGUCACUGGUCUUUGACAGAACAUGCGGACAGCAAAAUAACAAAACAGGGUUCAGGCUGCACCGUCAGCAGCAGAGACAAAUAAUUCUUCCAAAAUAAACAAGCGAGCUCCCAGCAGAGGCCUGUGAAGUCUCCCGUUCUGCCCAAACCACACACAUGUGGCUGCAGAGGAGCCUGCAGAGGCCCACCGGGCAUUCAAGUGGUCGAGUGUGAGACCCAGGCCACUGGCUGUCCUCCCUGUCAGAACAAAAGCUUCAUGGAAAGGGCCAGGAGGAUACAGCGAGGGGAACCAAAUGCCACUGGCAUUUCCUGGAUAUUUGUGCCAUAGUCUAAGCACUUAGAGGAAGCACCGAGAGUUUGCUGCCCUGGAAGCUGACGUGCUCCCCAAACACAAGACGCAGGACUGGAGGCCUCGCCCCACAGUUCGAGAGGCCGUUUUGGGACACAUCAAGGAAGGAAGGCUUAAGCGACACAGGACCUGGCUGACUUACGCACCCGCUGUCUAAAGACGGGGUGCUGGCUGGUGAACUCGAGCAACUCACGGCAGACCUGGAGUGACAGUCAUGGGCCUGUACCUGUGUGGAGUCCUCCAUGGCUGGGCUCACAGAGACCGAGCUGGACUGCAUUGUGCAUUGGCUGGAAGGAGAGGAGCCACUGAGAGUCCCAGCUUAUGGCACUCUGCCCACCCCAACCCUGGCACUCCAGGGGGGCCCAUGCCACAGACACACUUCAGGGGGACAAUUGGGGCUGUUCCCAAUGACCAGGAGGGACAAAUGCCCUAAAGAUGUCCAUGGUUUGACCCCUGCUGUCUGUGGGCCCUGCCUGGCUGGCCUCCCCUUCUCACACUCUCCACAGUCCUCAUGCAACGCAGUAUGUCUAAAAACGCUGUCCUGAAAACGUGCACUCUGGGGAAGAACAGCUUCCUCCUCUCUGAGUGGAGCGGGCUGGCCCCAUGAGGCGUGAUUUUCAUUGUAAAAUGUGCUUCACGUAACACUGGGGCCCUUGUUGCCAUUUUUAAUUGUGCAGUUUGGAGGCAUUAAGUGUGUUCAUUGUCACCACCUUCCACCCACAGAGCUUCUUCGUCUUCCCGAACGGAAACUCUGUCCUCGGUAAACACUCCCUCCCCUCCCACAGCCCCUGGCACGCGCCUUCUCCUUCUUGUCUCCGUGAACCUGACAACUCUUCGGACCCCACCUAAGUGGAGUUGGGCAGGAUUUGUCCUCUGUGAUCGGCUCGUGUCACUCAGCGGCCCUGAAGGCUCAUCCGUGCCGCAGCCUGUCCCAGAAUCUCCCUCCCUCUAACACUGAUUAAUAUCCUGCUCCACAAAAAAAAAAACAGGAUGAUAGUUUGAUACCCGAAAUCCACUUGAAAAUUGGUAAGAAAA